UUAUACCCUCCCCUUGUGCAGUGAUUGGGUGAGUCUGGAGGGUGUGGUUUAGAAAGGAUUCCUCUCUAAAACAGUCAACUCUCUCUUCACCAAUCUCCUGGAACUGGCCAAAACUCUCUGCACUAGCCCUGCUAACACACUCGCUUUCUACCAACUCGUAUUUCUCCUGACACUGGAAUUCUCUUAUCAAAGGCUCUCAGAUAUACUGGUCUUCCUACACCAGCUGCAAGAGCUUGCUGUGAAGGAGAAAGGUCUUGAGGCACAUCACAGAGUGGUGCUACAUGCUACAGUGGCAGGUGUGCUGUAUCUAGCGUCCAAGAUUAGUCGAAACGAGGUACUCAAGACGCACAUCGAUGGAGUGAUUGCUAAGAGGAAGGAGACAGCUCCGAAGGCUAUUGUGAGACAUUCUUCUAGAAGGAAGUGCAGUCAUCUAGACAUGGAGGAGAAGCUACUCAAGAGAUAUCAAAUCAUGGACCCGGGUGUCAUGGCUGAGCUGGAGUGAAAAUUGGACCUAUGCAGAUGUUGAGGAGAAGAGUGAGACCAUUCGAGGUCUAGAGGAUGACCUGCUGAGGGAGCUGGAGGAGAAGCUGCUCGAGAGGUCUCAAAUCAUGGACCCAGGUGUCAUGGCUGAGCUGGUGAGAGAAUUGGAACUGGCCAAC